rnacentral:tRNA from 1 species
GUUCGCUCAGUUGGUAGAGCGCUCCACCUGUAAUGGAGAGGUCCCGGGUUCGAUACCCGGACCAGGCG